GUCAGUAUGGCCGAGUGGUUAAGGCGAUAGACUCGAAAUCUAUUGGGUUCGCCCGCCUAGGUUCAAAUCCUAGUGCUGACG
rnacentral:tRNA from 1 species